rfam:Myotis lucifugus cont2.7871, whole genome shotgun sequence.
GGCCUCCCUCUGUGGGGCGAUCAAUCGUGGGGCUCCGUGAUCCAUCGCCCAGCAGAGGGAGGCC